AUUAAAUCAGACCGAUUCGGAAUGGAAAU
rnacentral:other from 1 species